UUCAAAUCUGGGAAACUCUCCAUACUAUUUACUUCCAGUGGGAAUUACCGUUAACUACUAUCCUUAACGUCCCGUGGCUUGGGCUUUGGCAGUGCGUCAGGUAAAGAGUGUCAAUCUCCACCUCAGAGCUCCUCGACUCUCAGGACCUUAAGCACAUUGCAUUCGUAACUUGUCAAUAUGGGCGUGCUGCUCUGCUCACUGUAAAAAUGAAGGCAAGUUUCCACGUCACCGCCUCUAUAACAACAGCAGAGUUCCUCGUCUGAGUGAUUUCGUUGGGGGACGCGCAAGACGACUUCCCAAGGGUCAUCCUUCCAGGAAACCUGUAGCUCGAAAUGGGUUCAGGGGUGCCUCGGA